rnacentral:rRNA from 1 species
GUACCCUGGUAGUCCACGCUGUAAACGAUGUCGACUUGGAGGUUGUUCCCUUGAGGAGUGGCUUCCGGAGCUAACGCGUUAAGUCGACCGCCUGGGGAGUACGGCCGCAAGGUUAAAACUCAAAUGAAUUGACGGGGGCCCGCACAAGCGGUGGAGCAUGUGGUUUAAUUCGAUGCAACGCGAAGAACCUUACCUACUCUUGACAUCCAGAGAACUUAGCAGAGAUGCUUUGGUGCCUUCGGGAACUCUGAGACAGGUGCUGCAUGGCUGUCGUCAGCUCGUGUUGUGAAAUGUUGGGUUAAGUCCCGCAACGAGCGCAACCCUUAUCCUUUGUUGCCAGCGGUUCGGCCGGGAACUCAAAGGAGACUGCCAGUGAUAAACUGGAGGAAGGUGGGGAUGACGUCAAGUCAUCAUGGCCCUUACGAGUAGGGCUACACACGUGCUACAAUGGCAUAUACAAAGAGAAGCGACCUCGCGAGAGCAAGCGGACCUCAUAAAGUAUGUCGUAGUCCGGAUUGGAGUCUGCAACUCGACUCCAUGAAGUCGGAAUCGCUAGUAAUCGUAGAUCAGAAUGCUACGGUGAAUACGUUCCCGGGCCUUGUACACACCGCCCGUCACACCAUGGGAGUGGGUUGCAAAAGAAGUAGGUAGCUUAAC